UUAUGGCUCAGGAUGAACGCUGGCGGCGUGCCUAACACAUGCAAGUCGAGCGAUUACUUCGGUAAAGAGCGGCGGACGGGUGAGUAACGCGUGGGUAACCUGCCUCAUACACAUGGAUAACAUACCGAAAGGUAUGCUAAUACAGGAUAAUAUAAGAGAUUCACAUGGAUUUCUUAUCAAAGCUCCGGCGGUAUGAGAUGGACCCGCGUCUGAUUAGCUAGUUGGUAAGGUAAUGGCUUACCAAGGCGACGAUCAGUAGCCGACCUGAGAGGGUGAUCGGCCACAUUGGAACUGAGACACGGUCCAAACUCCUACGGGAGGCAGCAGUGGGGAAUAUUGCACAAUGGGCGAAAGCCUGAUGCCAGCAACGCCGCGUGAGUGAUGAAGGCCUUCGGGUCGUAAAACUCUGUCCUCAAGGAAGAUAAUGACGGUACUUGAGGAGGAAGCCCCGGCUAACUACGUGCCAGCCGCAGC
rnacentral:rRNA from 1 species